UACCUGCAGCUCUAGUGGUGACCGCUAUUAUUGGGCCUAAAACGUCCGUAGCCGGCUUAUUAAAUGCCUGGGUAAAUCGGACCGCUCAACGGUUCGAAUUCCGGGUAGACUGAUAAGCUCGAGAUCGGGAGAAGUUAGAGGUACUCCUGGGGUAGAGGUGAAAUUCUGUAAUCCUAGGGGGACCACCAGUGGCGAAGGCGUCUGACUAGAACGAGUCUGACGGUGAGGGACGAAGCCCUGGGGCGCAAACCGGAUUAGAUACCCGGGUAGUCCAGGGUGUAAACGCUGCUUGCUUGAUGUUAGUCGGGCUCCGAGCCCGAUUAGUGUCGGAGAGAAGUUGUUAAGCAAGCUGCCUGGGAAGUACGGUCGCAAGUCUGAAACUUAAAGGAAUUGGCGGGGGAGCACAGCAACGGGUGGAGCGUGCGGUUU
rnacentral:rRNA from 1 species